rfam:Helianthus annuus linkage group 17, whole genome shotgun sequence.
GUUACUGCUGUUUCUGAUUCGCUUGGUGCAGGUCGGGAACGGUAUCGCGGACGUGAUCCGUGUAGAGAUAUCAGGUCCCGCCUUGCAUCAAGUGAAUCGGAAACCGCUGUGAAU